GUCUCUGAUGAUGAUCAAAUAUAUAACUUUCGUUCUUCUGAGAUUAAAUCAUGCGGAAAAGUUAUGGAGACCUGAACUGAAGAGAC
rfam:Solanum lycopersicum cultivar Heinz 1706 chromosome 4, whole genome shotgun sequence.